rnacentral:rRNA from 1 species
GGAAUUGUUAGCAAUGGGCGCAAGCCUGACGACGCAACGCCGCGUGGAGGAUGAAGGUCUUCGGAUUGUAAACUCCUGUUGAUCGGAACGAACUCCUCCGGGGCCAAUACCCCCGGAGACUGACGGUACCGGUUGAGGAAGCCCCGGCUAACCCUGUGCCAGACGCCGCGGUAAUACAGAGGGGGCAAGCGUUGUUCGGAAUUACUGGGCGUAAAGGGCGCGUAGGCGGCCGGCUGAGUCAGACGUGAAAUCCCCAGGCUCAACCUGGGAAUUGCGUCUGAUACUGGCUGGCUGGAGUUCGGGAGAGGGAAGUGGAAUUCCAGGUGUAGCGGUGAAAUGCGUAGAUAUCUGGAGGAACACCGGUGGCGAAGGCGGCUUCCUGGACCGACACUGACGCUGAGGCGCGAAAGCCAGGGGAGCAAAC